CAAAAAUCCACAAGUGACGGAGGAGUAACGAGGGAGGAAGGCAGUGGCUGUGCGAGAGGGCAGCCCGGUAAACCAAGAGGAAUCACCAAGCCAAGGACUAUCUCCGCGAGUUAAGAUCAGAGCGAGAAAUUCAAGUAAAGAACAAGGUUGAGCAGUGAUGACGGCGGGCGGUGUUGAGCACAGACAAAUGAAGAUCCUUCGAUAGAAUAGUACUUGGAUGCGUCGUGUCUCCAUACACGAUGCCAUCUGCUCUUGACUCUUCCGCUGCAAUGUAAAAGUCGAGUUUACACUCCUUGUAUUAUGCAUUCUGAUAUAUAUUAUUCCAAGUUAUUUCAGUUCAA